AAACUUCUUUUGUGACCGCGGAGGGAUCAUUACCGAGUUACAACUCCCAAACCCCUGUGAACAUACCAAUUGUUGCCUCGGCGGAUCAGCCCGCUCCCGGUAAAACGGGACGGCCCGCCAGAGGACCCCUAAACUCUGUUUCUAUAUGUAACUUCUGAGUAAAACCAUAAAUAAAUCAAAACUUUCAACAACGGAUCUCUUGGUUCUGGCAUCGAUGAAGAACGCAGCAAAAUGCGAUAAGUAAUGUGAAUUGCAGAAUUCAGUGAAUCAUCGAAUCUUUGAACGCACAUUGCGCCCGCCAGUAUUCUGGCGGGCAUGCCUGUUCGAGCGUCAUUUCAACCCUCAAGCCCCCGGGUUUGGUGUUGGGGAUCGGCGAGCCCUUGCGGCAAGCCGGCCCCGAAAUCUAGUGGCGGUCUCGCUGCAGCUUCCAUUGCGUAGUAGUAAAACCCUCGCAACUGGUACGCGGCGCGGCCAAGCCGUUAAACCCCCAACUUCUGAAUGUUGACCUCGGAUCAGGUAGGAAUACCCGCUGAACUUAAGCAUAUCAAAAGCCGGAGGAA
rnacentral:rRNA from 1 species